UAUCCCUAUGAGGAAUUAAUCCGAAGAAAUAAAUUAAUAGUGGACCAAUUUAUUUCCAUUGAGGACUAUCCAAUUCCGAGGGAUU
rfam:Gossypium hirsutum cultivar TM-1 chromosome 23, whole genome shotgun sequence